UAUCCUGUCUGAAUAUGGGGGGACCAUCCUCCAAGGCUAAAUACUCCUGACUGACCGAUAGUGAACCAGUACCGUGAGGGAAAGGCGAAAAGAACCCCGGCGAGGGGAGUGAAAAAGAACCUGAAACCGUGUACGUACAAGCAGUGGGAGCACAGAGCAAUCUGUGUGACUGCGUACCUUUUGUAUAAUGGGUCAGCGACUUAUAUUCUGUAGCAAGGUUAACCGAAUAGGGGAGCCGAAGGGAAACCGAGUCUUAACUGGGCGUUAAGUUGCAGGGUAUAGACCCGAAACCCGGUGAUCUAGCCAUGGGCAGGUUGAAGGUUGGGUAACACUAACUGGAGGACCGAACCGACUAAUGUUGAAAAAUUAGCGGAUGACUUGUGGCUGGGGGUGAAAGGCCAAUCAAACCGGGAGAUAGCUGGUUCUCCCCGAAAGCUAUUUAGGUAGCGCCUCGUGAAUUCAUCUCCGGGGGUAGAGCACUGUUUCGGCAAGGGGGUCAUCCCGACUUACCAACCCGAUGCAAACUGCGAAUACCGGAGAAUGUUAUCACGGGAGACACACGGCGGGUGCUAACGUCCGUCGUGAAGAGGGAAACAACCCAGACCGCCAGCUAAGGUCCCAAAGUCAUGGUUAAGUGGGAAACGAUGUGGGAAGGCCCAGACAGCCAGGAUGUUGGCUUAGAAGCAGCCAUCAUUUAAAGAAAGCGUAAUAGCUCACUGGUCGAGUCGGCCUGCGCGGAAGAUGUAACGGGGCUAAACCAUGCACCGAAGCUGCGGCAGCGACGCUUAUGCGUUGUUGGGUAGGGGAGCGUUCUGUAAGCCUGCGAAGGUGUGCUGUGAGGCAUGCUGGAGGUAUCAGAAGUGCGAAUGCUGACAUAAGUAACGAUAAAGCGGGUGAAAAGCCCGCUCGCCGGAAGACCAAGGGUUCCUGUCCAACGUUAAUCGGGGCAGGGUGAGUCGACCCCUAAGGCGAGGCCGAAAGGCGUAGUCGAUGGGAAACAGGUUAAUAUUCCUGUACUUGGUGUUACUGCGAAGGGGGGACGGAGAAGGCUAUGUUGGCCGGGCGACGGUUGUCCCGGUUUAAGCGUGUAGGCUGGUUUUCCAGGCAAAUCCGGAAAAUCAAGGCUGAGGCGUGAUGACGAGGCACUACGGUGCUGAAGCAACAAAUGCCCUGCUUCCAGGAAAAGCCUCUAAGCAUCAGGUAACAUCAAAUCGUACCCCAAACCGACACAGGUGGUCAGGUAGAGAAUACCAAGGCGCUUGAGAGAACUCGGGUGAAGGAACUAGGCAAAAUGGUGCCGUAACUUCGGGAGAAGGCACGCUGAUAUGUAGGUGAAGUCCCUCGCGGAUGGAGCUGAAAUCAGUCGAAGAUACCAGCUGGCUGCAACUGUUUAUUAAAAACACAGCACUGUGCAAACACGAAAGUGGACGUAUACGGUGUGACGCCUGCCCGGUGCCGGAAGGUUAAUUGAUGGGGUCAGCGCAAGCGAAGCUCUUGAUCGAAGCCCCGGUAAACGGCGGCCGUAACUAUAACGGUCCUAAGGUAGCGAAAUUCCUUGUCGGGUAAGUUCCGACCUGCACGAAUGGCGUAAUGAUGGCCAGGCUGUCUCCACCCGAGACUCAGUGAAAUUGAACUCGCUGUGAAGAUGCAGUGUACCCGCGGCAAGACGGAAAGACCCCGUGAACCUUUACUAUAGCUUGACACUGAACAUUGAGCCUUGAUGUGUAGGAUAGGUGGGAGGCUUGGAAGUGUGGACGCCAGUCUGCAUGGAGCCGACCUUGAAAUACCACCCUUUAAUGUUUGAUGUUCUAACGUUGACCCGUGAUCCGGGUUGCGGACAGUGUCUGGUGGGUAGUUUGACUGGGGCGGUCUCCUCCUAAAGAGUAACGGAGGAGCACGAAGGUUGGCUAAUCCUGGUCGGACAUCAGGAGGUUAGUGCAAUGGCAUAAGCCAGCUUGACUGCGAGCGUGACGGCGCGAGCAGGUGCGAAAGCAGGUCAUAGUGAUCCGGUGGUUCUGAAUGGAAGGGCCAUCGCUCAACGGAUAAAAGGUACUCCGGGGAUAACAGGCUGAUACCGCCCAAGAGUUCAUAUCGACGGCGGUGUUUGGCACCUCGAUGUCGGCUCAUCACAUCCUGGGGCUGAAGUAGGUCCCAAGGGUAUGGCUGUUCGCCAUUUAAAGUGGUACGCGAGCUGGGUUUAGAACGUCGUGAGACAGUUCGGUCCCUAUCUGCCGUGGGCGCUGGAGAACUGAGGGGGGCUGCUCCUAGUACGAGAGGACCGGAGUGGACGCAUCACUGGUGUUCGGGUUGUCAUGCCAAUGGCACUGCCCGGUAGCUAAAUGCGGAAGAGAUAAGUGCUGAAAGCAUCUAAGCACGAAACUUGCCCCGAGAUGAGUUCUCCCUGACUCCUUGAGAGUCCUGAAGGAACGUUGAAGACGACGACGUUGAUAGGCCGGGUGUGUAAGCGCAGCGAUGCGUUGAGCUAACCGGUACUAAUGAACCGUGAGGCUUAACCUU
rnacentral:rRNA from 2 species